UCCAUGCCGUAAACGUUGUAUACUAGAUGUGGGGGGAUUAAGCCCCCUCCGUGUCCAAGCUAACGCGAUAAGUAUACCGCCUGGGGACUACGGCCGCAAGGCUAAAACUCAAAGGAAUUGACGGGGACCCGCACAAGCGGUGGAGCAUGUGGCUUAAUUCGAGGCAACGCGAAGAACCUUACCUGGGUUUGACAUGUUUAACCGCUCUAGAAUAGAGCUUUCUUUCGAGAUUU
rnacentral:rRNA from 1 species